UACAGGCUUAACACAUGCAAGUCGAGGGGCAGCAUGGACUCAUCUUCGCUGGGUUUGAUGGCCACCGGCGCACGGGUGAGUAACGCGUAUCCAACCUGCCCUUUACUCCGGGAUACUCUCCUGAAAGGGAGUUUAAUACCGGAUGUGUUUGUCUUUCCGCAUGGGAGCGACAAAUAAAGAUUGAUUGGCAAAGGAUGGGGAUGCGUCACAUUAGGCUUGUUGGCGGGGGAACGGCCCCACCAACGCAACGAUGGGUAGGGGUUCUGAGAGGAAGGUCCCCCACAUUGGAAGUGAGACACGGUCCAAACUCCUACGGGAGGCAGCAGUGAGGAAUAUUGGUCAAUGGGCGAGAGCCUGAACCAGCCAAGUAGCGUGAAGGACGACGGCCCUACGGGUUGUAAACUUCUUUUAUAAGGGAAUAAAGUGCGUUACGUGUAAUGUUUUGUAUGUACCUUAUGAAUAAGCAUCGGCUAAUUCCGUGCCAGCAGCCGCGGUAAUACGGAAGAUGCGAGCGUUAUCCGGAUUUAUUGGGUUUAAAGGGAGCGUAGGCGGGCUUUUAAGUCAGCGGUCAAAUGUCACGGCUCAACCGUGGCCAGCCGUUGAGACUGCAAGCCUUGAGUCUGCACAGGGCACAUGGAAUUCGUGGUGUAGCGGUGAAAUGCUUAGAUAUCACGAAGAACUCCGAUCGCGAAGGCAUUGUGCCGGGGCAGCACUGACGCUGAGGCUCGAAAGUGCGGGUAUCAAACAGGAUUAGAUACCCUGGUAGUCCGCACGGUAAAC
rnacentral:rRNA from 1 species